CCCCACCAAAGCCUGUAAAGCUCCGCCCUUCAGGCCUGUCACUCACUUCCUUCCCACCAGAGACUGAAGAACAAAGGAACUAUCCGCCUUCUAGAUUCCCUUUGAUUCAUACCUUGAAAGAAAAGAGAGCAGUUUAAUCCUGUGGAUGCAUGAAAUGAUAUAAAAUCAUCCCCAGCUAACGAAACCGUUGUCAACCAUCAGAUUGAAAAAGAAAAUGUUAAACGGCCUGCUGGAUCCAGUCUUUUAAUGUGUGGGAUG